AAAAACAUCGCCUCUUGCAUAACCACAGUAUAAGAGGUCCCGCCUGCCCAGUGACGACUUAGUUCAACGGCCGCGGUAUUUUGACCGUGCAAAGGUAGCGUAAUCACUUGUCUUUUAAAUGAAGACCUGUAUGAAUGGCAUAACGAGGGCUUAACUGUCUCCUUCCCCCGGUCAAUGAAAUUGAUCUCCCCGUGCAGAAGCGGGGAUAAAACCAUAAGACGAGAAGACCCUAUGGAGCUUUAGACACACAGGUGGCCCAUGUCAAAUAACCCCCGCUAAGGGCCUGAACUAAGUGGAACCUGCCUUGAUGUCUUCGGUUGGGGCGACCAUGGGGAAUACAAAACCCCCACGUGGAAGGGGAGCACACCCCUAAGUUACUUCUUCUCCCGCAAGCCAGAGCAACGGCUCUAACCAGCAGAAAUUCUGACCAAACUGAUCCGGUAAUACCGAUCAACGAACCAAGUUACCCUAGGGAUAACAGCGCAAUCCCCUUUUAGAGCCCAUAUCGACAAGGGGGUUUACGACCUCGAUGUUGGAUCAGGACAUCCUAAUGGUGCAGCCGCUAUUAAGGGUUCGUUUGUUCAACGAUUAAAGUCCUACGUGAUCUGAUU
rnacentral:rRNA from 1 species